UUUCAUGAAAAUCUAUUACCACGUUUAGCUGUAAAUGCGCAACAUAUAAACAUAUAUAAACAUUUAAACAUAAAGAGAAAUGCCAAACCGUCGACUUGAAUCUUAGACCUCACUUCGCUCGGCCAACCAGAAAAUCAUUUAAUGUGAGGGUAAACAGAAAGCGGGAAAAUUGAAGAGAAGUUAGGUAUGAUAGAAUAUAAGCUUGUGUCAUUGUAGUUGAAUCUUUUAUUUGAUUGUAGCACAGGUUCACCUCGCAGAUCUCCGUUGCUGUUGGCAACUUUUUCUUUGCAGGAUGAUUAGGAUAACAUUAAAAAAUAGCAAUACACUUAUAUAAUAACUGAAAUUUAAUAAAACCCAAAUAGUAAUAAAAAUCUAUGUUGAUUUCACAUUUUAGUUCAGCAGGAGUCCGUGUUGAUUUCUACGCUAUAAUCUUAUCUUUCAUAUCUAUUCUUAUUUCUUAUCAUUUCAAAGUAAUGUAGUAGUUCUUGAAAGAAUGUAACAAUCUGUUUUAAAUUUAUCCAGGCUACUUUUAUCUCUCUAAAUGUUUGACUGUAUGUCGUUGAUGCAUUCUUCAAUGAUCAACAACUCCUUGAAAAUAUAUGUCAUACAAACAUUCAAUCUAUGCCGGCGCAUUUUAACUCAAUGAUAUCCUCAGCUCCUCUGGAUAUUGUAGUAUUAAGCGAGUCUUGACUCAAACCCAGUUUACAAUCGUAAGCUUACGGUAUUCUUGUUGAAUAUUUACUCUUAGGAACGACCAUUAGUAAAGGUGGCGGGGGAAUGAUUAUCUAUGUAAGAUACUCUUUUCCGGCCCUGAGUGGUAAUGUCUCUGAAGCCGGUGCACUCUCAUUCUCCCGAAUUCCUUCUAGCUUCUACUUGAUGUGAGAGUGGGCGCUGAGUCCGUUUUCGUCCUUGGAGUUUAUCAGCCGCCAAGAGAGGGAGUCUCCUCACAUUAGAGGAUGCUCUGUUGACUAAAGUUAUGCAAUGAUAUAACCACAUAAUUUAUAAUUACGUAACACCUCAUCAGAGAACUUGAUAUGCUGAAAUUACGACAAAGACUAAAGUACUCAAUACUAUGUGAAACCUACAAAAUAAUUGUGGAGGGUACUGGUCCGGAAUAUUUGAGAAAAAUACUUGUAUCUUUCACAUAGGUUCAUCAGAAGGACACUUGGUCUCACCGCUGCUUUCUCUAGAUUCCGUUGGAUAAUCUUUAUCAGAGUUGAAAAUUCUCAACAAAGGAAAAAAACUGAUGAACGUGCCAACUCCACUGAUACCUCACCAUAUUAUUUGUUUUACAUAGAGCAAUCCAAUAUUUUUUAUACACUUAUGAAGUGUUUUAUCAAUAAACAUAAUAAUAAUAAGUGUAUUUGAACAAACGAAAUUAACACUUGAAAAGUAAUGUUGUCUGUUUAUGUAAAGAGUUUGUCACAUUUUAUACUCUGAAAUUGUUUUAUAUAAUUUCAUUAUAAUUCUCAUAAUGUGUAAUAGAUUGCAUAAAAUUGUUAUUAAAAA